rnacentral:rRNA from 1 species
GGAAUACCCGCUGAACUUAAGCAUAUCAAUAAGCGGAGGAAAAGAAACCAACAGGGAUUGCCCUAGUAACGGCGAGUGAAGCGGCAACAGCUCAAAUUUGAAAUCUGGCUUCGGCCCGAGUUGUAAUUUGCAGAGGAUGUUUCUGGCGCGGUGCCUUCCGAGUUCCCUGGAACGGGACGCCACAGAGGGUGAGAGCCCCGUAUGGUUGGACACCAAGCCUGUGUGAAACUCCUUCGACGAGUCGAGUAGUUUGGGAAUGCUGCUCUAAAUGGGAGGUAAAUCUCUUCUAAAGCUAAAUACCGGCCAGAGACCGAUAGCGCACAAGUAGAGUGAUCGAAAGAUGAAAAGCACCUUGAAAAGGGGGUUAAACAGUACGUGAAAUUGUUGAAAGGGAAGCGCUCAUGACCAGACUUGUGCCGGGCGGUUCAUCCGGGGUUCUCCCCGGUGCACUCCGCCCGGUUCAGGCCAGCAUCGGUUCUCGUUGGGGGAUAAGAACGGUAGGAACGUGGCCCUCCCUCGGGAGGGUGUUAUAGCCUGCCGUACGAUACCUUGAUGGGGACCGAGGUUCGCGCUCCGCAAGGAUGCUGGCGUAAUGGUCAUCAGCGACCCGUCUUGAAACACGGACCAAGGAGUCGUCCAUUAGAGCGAGCGUUUGGGUGUAAAACCCGCACGCGUAAUGAAAGUGAAAUUAGGUGAGAGCUUCGGCGCAUCAUCGACCGAUCCUGAUGUUCUCGGAUGGAUUUGAGUAAGAGUUUUAACGGACGGACCCGAAAGACAGUGAACUAUGCUUGUAUAGGGUGAAGCCAGAGGAAACUCUGGUGGAGGCUCGCAGCGGUUCUGACGUGCAAAUCGAUCGUCAAAUAUGAGCAUGGGGGCGAAAGACUAAUCGAACUGUCUAGUAGCUGGUUACCGC